GACGAACGCUGGCGGCGUGGAUUAGGCAUGCAAGUCGAACGGUAUAUAUUCCUUCGGGAGUAUAGAGAGUGGCGAACGGGUGAGUAACGCGUAGGUGAUCUACCUUCAAGUGGGGGACAACCCAGGGAAACUUGGGCUAAUACCGCAUGUGGCAGCAAUGCUAAAGCCGGCCUCUGAAUAUGCUGGUGCUUGGAGAUGAGCCUGCGUCUGAUUAGCUAGUUGGUGGGGUAAUGGCCUACCGAGGCGAUGAUAAGUAGGCGGCUUUAACGAGUGGUCGCCCACACUGGGAUUGAGAUACGGCCCAGACUCCUACGGGAGGCAGCAGUCGAGGAUAGUCUACAAUGGUCGAAAGAUUGAUAGUGCGACGCCGCGUGAACGAUGAAGCAUUUCGGUGUGUAAAGUUCUUUUCUAUGGGAGCAGUGCUUUUAAUGUUAAUAGCAUUAGAAGAGAGAUAUUACUAUAGGAAUAAGCCACGGCUAACUCCGUGCCAGCAGCCGCGGUAAUACGGGGGUGGCAAGCGUUGUCCGGAAUUACUAGGCGU
rnacentral:rRNA from 1 species